ensembl:snRNA U6 U6 spliceosomal RNA
GUGCUCACUUCAACAGCACAUAAGAAAACUGAGAAUGAUACGGAGACGAUAGCAUGGGCCUUAUACAAGGAUGCUGUGCACCUUUGUCAAGCAUUUCGUAUUUUU